rnacentral:misc_RNA from 1 species
AUUUUGUUGGGAAUGUUCCCGAAUCUUUUGGACUACUUAAAAAUCUGACUUUUUUGGGCCUCCUUAUGAAUCAGUUAUCUGGCAUUAUCCCUUCCUCAAUCUUCAAUCUUUCUUCUAUCACACUUUUGGACAUAGCAAGCAAUCAAUUUGAAGGAAAUCUUCCCACAGAUUUAUUCAUCUCUCUUCCAAAACUUGAGACCUUAAAUAUUGCAGUUAACCAAUUUGAUGGUCCCAUUCCUUAUUCAGUAUCCAAUGCUUCAAAUCUACGCGAUCUUCAGUUGCAGGGAAACAAACUCACAGGGAAAGUUCCUUCUUUAGAAAGGCUCAAUGUUCUAGUGUUUUUUAUUGAUAACAAUCUUCUUGGAAAUGCAGAAUUUGAUGAUUUGGGAUUCCUCUGUUCUUUGACUAAUGCCAGCAUUUUGUGGCAGCUGGAUAUAAGCAGGAAUAAAUUUGGAGGGGAAAUACCUGAG